rnacentral:rRNA from 1 species
UCGGGAAUUUUGGGCAAUGGGCGAAAGCCUGACCCAGCAACGCCGCGUGAAGGAUGAAAUCCUUCGGGAUGUAAACUUCGCAAGAACGGGAAGAAUAAGUAAGAGCUAACAUCUCUUAUGAUGACGGUACUGUUUGUAAGCUCCGGCUAACUCCGUGCCAGCAGCCGCGGUAAUACGGGGGGAGCAAGCGUUGUUCGGAUUUACUGGGCGUAAAGAGCGCGCAGGCGGUCGUUCAAGUCGCGUGUGAAAGCCCCCGGCUCAACUGGGGAGGGUCACGCGAUACUGAUCGACUCGAAGGCAGGAGAGGGUAGUGGAAUUCCCGGUGUAGUGGUGAAAUGCGUAGAUAUCGGGAGGAACACCAGUGGCGAAGGCGACUACCUGGCCUGUUCUUGACGCUGAGGCGCGAAAGCUAGGGGAGCAAA